UACGAAGGGGGCUAGCGUUGCUCGGAAUCACUGGGCGUAAAGGGCGCGUAGGCGGUUUGCCAAGUCAGGGGUGAAAUCCUGCAGCUCAACUGUAGAAGUGCCUUUGAUACUGGCGAACUCGAGGGAGGUAGGGGUGCGUGGAACUUCUGGUGGAGCGGUGAAAUGCGUUGAUAUCAGAAGGAACGCCGGUGGCGAAAGCGACGCACUGGACCUUUUCUAACGCUGAGGCGCGAAAGCUAGGGGAGCAAACGGG
rnacentral:rRNA from 1 species